CGACNGCGACCCCAGGUCAGG
rnacentral:rRNA from 1 species